rnacentral:rRNA from 1 species
AUACGGAGGGUGCAAGCGUUAUCCGGAUUUAUUGGGUUUAAAGGGUGCGCAGGCGGACCUGUCAGUCAGUGGUGAAAUCCCGGGGCUCAACCCCGGAACUGCCAUUGAUACUACAGGUCUUGAAUACGGUUGAAGUAGGCGGAAUGUAGCAUGUAGCGGUGAAAUGCAUAGAUAUGCUACAGAACACCGAUCGUGAAGGCAGCUUACUAAGCCGAUAUUGACGCUCAGGCACGAAAGCGUGGGGAGCGAACAGGAUUAGAAACCCUGGUAGUCC